rnacentral:rRNA from 1 species
GACUAUGGCCAUGCUACCCUGAGCAUGCCCAAUCCCGUUUAAUGUCAGAAGCUAAGCAGGGUCGGACCUGGUUAGUAAUUGGAUGGGAGACCACCAAGGAAGAACAGGACAGGUGCUGUAGGCA